rfam:Hordeum vulgare subsp. vulgare, WGS project CAJW01000000 data, contig: morex_contig_51832
AUACUACUCCCUCCGUCUUAAAAUUCUUGUCUUAUAUUUGUCUAUAAAUGAAUGUAUAUAAUAUUAAAAACUUAACUAGAUACAUUUAUAUCUAGACAAAUUUAAGACAAAAUUUUAGGACGGAGGGAGUACAUU